rnacentral:lncRNA from 1 species
CCUUGUGAGAUCCACCCACUACCCACAAAACAUUGCUCCUAACUCCACCACCUAUCCUGAAACGUAUGAGAACUAAUGAUAAUCCCACCACCCUUUGCUGACUCUCUUUUCAGACUCAGCCUGCCUGCACCCACAUGAAAUAAACAGUCUUGUUGCUCACACAAAGCCUGUUUAGUGGUCUCUUCACACAGAUGCGUAUGACAUUUGGUGCUGAAGACCAGGGUCAGAGGGACUGCUUCAAGAGACCAGUUCCCUGUCCUCACCCUCACUCUGUGAAGAGAUCCACCUACAACCUCCGGUCCUCAGACCAACCAGCCCAAGGAACAUCUCACCAAUUUCAAAUCAGCUUAGCAGCUGAAGACUGACUCUGCCUGAUCACAUUGGAAGCCCCCUGGACCAUCACGGACGCCGAGCUUUAGAUGGAUUCUCGCUCUGUUGCCCAGGCUGGAGUCCAGUGGCGCCAUCUGCAAGCUCCGCCUCCUGGGUUCACGCCAUUCUCCUGCCUCAGCCUCCCCAGCAGCUGGGACUACAGGCGCCCGCCACCAUGCCCGGCUAAUUUUUGGUAUUUUUAGUAGAGACGGGGUUUCACCCUGUUAGCCAGGAUGGUCUCCAUCUCCUGACCUCGUGAUCCACCCGCCUCGGCCUCCCAAAGUGCUGGGAUUACAGGCGUGAGCCACUGCGCCCAGCCUAGGUAUUUCAAUAGAAGUGGAAUAAAGCCAAUUUAUUGUCUUUGAAAAUCAUGGCACUGUAUGUUUCCAUCCACAGAGUACAACAGAGCCCCUUUCCCCCUGUCUUCAUGAACGUUGGAUGGUAGCAGACCCCUCUACCUUUUAUGUCAGCUACUAGAAAGAAAUCAAACCUCGGUGUUGCUUCCUCCUGCAGUGUUUGAACUACCUCUGAUCCGGAAAAUUUUCAUGUGCUCAUUGGUCAUUUCUGCUCAUGCAAAUUGUCUUUUCAUGCCCUGUGCUUUUUUUCUACUAAGAUACUCAGUUUUCUCUUGUCAACCUAAUAUAAUCGAAAGGGUCAGAAUCUAAUUUAAAGAGCGUUUAUUCAAGUGCAUGAGGAUGGACCGCCCAGAAACACCAACUCCAAAGGGAUGGAGUC